AUAGCCUACGGUACGCAGCAGUAGGGAAUCUUCGGCAAUGGGGCAACCCUGACCGAGCAACGCCGCGUGAGUGAAGAAGGUUUUCGGAUCGUAAAGCUCUGUUGUAAGAGAAGAACGUGUGUGAGAGUGGAAAGUUCACACAGUGACGGUAACUUACCAGAAAGGGACGGCUAACUACGUGCCAGCAGCCGCGGUAAUACGUAGGUCCCGAGCGUUAUCCGGAUUUAUUGGGCGUAAAGCGAGCGCAGGCGGUUGGAUUAAUCUUAAGUUAAAGG
rnacentral:rRNA from 1 species